rnacentral:lncRNA from 1 species
UGGUUUCAUUCACUGAAAUCAUGGAAAGGAUGCAGUGCUAUUGUUAUCAUCCUUGGGUACCUAAUGACAUCAAACUGCGAUUGCGGAUUGGGAAUAUGUGUAUAAGCUUAUGAGACGUACGGCAUGGGGUUGGAGGCGUCACGGCGUCGGAUCCGAGAAAGGAGUGCGAUGGUGUCUACACUUUACAGUAGAAAACAUGAGUCGGUCGCUCGAGCUCGAUGACGACGACUACUGUUUCUCCCUCUUCGCUGCAGAGAGAGAGAGAGAGAGAGAUUGGGGACCAAGUGGUGGUCGUCGGAUUGGGUGAUCGGUGGGGGAGACGUCGCCAUCGACGGAGAAGGGGGGAAGGGAGCUUUUGUUGGGGCUUUGGGCAACCAUGCAUGAGCUGCGGUCUGGCGUGCGGCAUCUCGUUGACAAAUGACAGUCGACAUCUCCGGUGAACUGCUGCUGUCACCCCC